rnacentral:misc_RNA from 1 species
ACAUGAGGAUGACCCAUGU